GGGGGAUUAGCUCAGCUGGGAGAGCGCUUGCAUGGCAUGCAAGAGGUCGCAGGUUCGAUCCCUGUAUCCUCCAC
rnacentral:tRNA from 1 species